CCUGCACUGUGUGACAGUCUGGGUUCCCGUCGAGAAAAUUCCCACAAUCCUUUGCCACAAUGGCGAAAGAGUGAAAGAGAGAGAAUGCUACCGCAGGGACCAGCCACCAGGGGGCGACACUGCCUCACCUGCCUGCCAUGACCGCACGUUCCUGUCAUUCUGAUGGUGCUACACAAGCUAGUUGUUUGUGUGUCAUUCGUAACCUCAAAACGUUGCUAUUGUGGCAACGCCUUAAUGGGAGACACUUACAACCCCGGCGGAUGGAGAUGAGAAAGAGGCUCCUUGAUGACAGGAAGCUUUACACAAGAUACAAAGAUACCAGACCUCAGAUAAAAGACGGGAGAGCGCCAGAAGGCGAAUCAUGCGCCGACAAAGUUGGACUUCUUGUGAUCACAUAAACAACUGAUAAGACUCGAAAGCCUAAUGAGUGGAUUUACUUUGGUGACACUCGGAACAUGCGAGUUGACUUGUGUCUUAUGAGAGGAAAUGACGGCGCUCACGCUUGCCAAUUUGCGCCGGAAGCCACAUAAAGCGACUUUGUGAGUUAGUCUUCCGAGGCGACAGGCAUAAAACUAAAUGGCACUUAGUCUAAAUGUCAAUACAAGUGUUAGAUUAGACCUCUUUGGCAAGCGAGUAGAUAGAGGACUUGAGCUAGGCCAUUGUGUCGCUGUGACCUUUUCUCCGGGCUCUGCGUCUUUCCAUCUAUCUGCAACCUUGCGCACUUACCACUCGUAACUACUUAAGACUCUGGAGUCACACAUAAAAAGUUAUCAAUGUGGUGUUUUUUAGAUUAGGCUGCGUUUGUGUUUUGGAGAAGACAGACCAGACCGCCUUUCACAUCUGGCUGAAAACGACUCAACGGCCCUUUCUCAGAGAAUAUACAAACAUCCAGUCUUCUGGUAGUUAGUGAUAGUCUAACAUUGUGAGAAUUCAAGAUAAAUGACUGGCAGAAGUUUGUACCAACUUUUCACAAGCAAAGUCCAAAGUAACAGAGUUAAAAUUGUUUUCAUGUUUUUGAUUCUGGGCCAUGUCACAACUGAAUUAUUCAUGUUCUUGUUUCUGGCCACAUAACACGUAUCUCCUGCCACUUGUUGCUAGGUAGAAUUCAUAGGGCUUCAUCAUAACUGCAAAUAAAUAAAUAAAUGAGGGGGUGAGGGUCAUGCACCUGACAAUUUAGUGACAGAGUUGUGGAGGUAUGAUACAAAAGAACUUGUUCAGUCUAUUUCAAAAACAUCAAGAUUUUCUAUUUCAAGUGACUGCAAAUCUUUGGAGAAGAAGAAAAAAAAAAGAGUGUAUGGCACAUAACUUCACACUGCCUUGUAAUGAGAUUAUCCCAGCGUAAUGUAAUUCAAGUGAAAAAAAAAUCUGCCAUUGUUUUGUUUUAAUAGGAUGCAAGCGAAUCAAAAAGUCCUUGGCAAGCACUCACAAUGAAUGAGUACACGAAUAUGCCGCAAUGUGCUUUUUCCUAUUUCAAUUCCUUUGGUGGCGUUGUGGCUGCUUUUCAGGGGGAAUUUGACAGUGCCCUCGGCAUGCAUUACCUAAAUGAACGGUUAUCCCGGCCCCUUGCCGAGGUCUUGUUUGCUUUUCAAUAAUUCACAAUGUUCUCCGUUGCAUACUUCCACUGCAUGCGUGUCACGUCUGAGCUUACUUUCUGCUCCUCUGCGCAGGGGAGAAAGAUUUUGUACAUGGAUGUGGAAGACCCUGGUGCCAAUUGUGAUUCUGCAUUAGGAUGAAGUGAGGCAGUAGCACAGACAAUCCAACAGAGGGCGCCGUAUUGAAAAAGGCUUGGUAAUUUAAAACCUGUUUGUUAUAGUA